AACGCACCUUGCGCCCUUUGGUAUUCCGAAGGGCACGCCUGUUUGAGUGUCGUGAAAUUCUCAACCCUGUGCUUUUCUUGUGAAAGCGCGUGGGCUUGGACUUGGAGGCUUUGCUGGUCCUCGCGGAUCGGCUCCUCUCAAAUGCAUUAGCGAGACCCUUGUGGUGCCGCCCCCGGUGUGAUAAUUGUCUACGCCGUGGUGGUACGCCACGAUUGUGGGGGACCUGCUUCCAACCGUCGAAAGACAAACUUUAUCGAAACUUGACCUCAAAUCAGGCGGGACUACCCGCUGAACUUAA
rnacentral:misc_RNA from 4 species